GAAUGGGACUACAUACGCUGGACUCAGAGGAAGAACAACUGGAGCUCCUCAGAAUCACUGGUUCGGACCUGCGGGGGACCCGAGAGGGGCCGGGAUAGGGACACCUGAGGCGAUAAAGCUGGUCUGGUCAUGCCACAGAGAGGUCAUCUAUGACUAUGGUCCAGUUCCACAUGGUUGGGAACUUCCUCCAUCUACUUAGGAGUGGUGUAUCCACUAAUAAUAAAGUAAUCCCGUAGUUUGCUGUUGCUUCGAAUAAAAAUGAGUUUUGUAGUUAUCUCUACUAGUAGUUUCAGUGGGAGGGAAUAAGAGAUUGAAACAUGAAGUUUUCAACGGGGUUGACUUAGUCAAGGGGUUGAGGGAUUAAGACAGAGAGAUAUCUAUUGUGAAACUCAAGAGGAACUAUUAUAAGUCCUCCAGAAUCUCUGGUUAUAUAAUAUUUAUUUUUGUUCA